CCUCCUGUUUGAAUCUAGUGCCGACGUCACCAGUGUGCGCUGGUCGGCGUCUUCUGUGUGGAAGCCGGAGUCUGGAAUAAAGUUAUGGUGAGGUGACAACGAAGCAAUCAAAGUCCACUAACUACACUGCCUACAAUUUUCCAGAUUAAGACACUUUGUAUUUGUUGCAGUACCUAAAUAAAUCAGCUCUAGAGGAAGAGUGUGCAGAAGGAAGUAGUUCAUUUCUGAAAGAAAGUGAAACGAACAGGACUCAAGAGGAGGUGUGUUCAGGAGGCAAGUCACUUGUGAAGGGUGACAAGGAAACUGAGGGUAAUGAACUUAAAAAUGCAGUUACGUAUGUUACAGAUGAUGACUCUGUUAAUGAUACGGGCAAGGAAAAACUUAAUCUCAAGAGGAAAUAACAGGACCAAAGUACCCUCUUCUCAAAGCUCAAGAAAAGAAAGUGGAACGAAGAAUAUAUCAAGUAUGGCUUUUUCCUACCGCAAGAUGAACUAACAAGCCCUACUCCCUCAGCUCAGAGCAUGUUUUGCAGUGUAAAAUAUAGCAACCAGUGCCUGGCUCCUUCAAAAUUGCAGACUCAUUUAAGAACAAAGCAUAGCAAUUUUUUCCAGUCAAUGGUAAAGAAUGACACUGCGACUAUAAAACCUUUUCUUGCCUUUUAAAAUAGCACAUGUGCUCAUGAAAGAAAAAAAUCAUACAGAGGUUGAGAAAGUUAUCAAACCGUGUUUGAAAAUCAUUGCCAAUCUACUACAUGGUGGAAAGCAAGCAGUGGAUGAAGUAGUGCAAAUUCCUUUGUCCAAUGACACAAUGAAACUUCGAUCUACCAUGAUUGCUGAAGAUCUCAAGCAUCAGCUGAUGGCGAAACUGUUGGAAGCACCAUUUUUCACUCUGCAGUUUGAUGAAACUACGGGCAUUAAAAACGAUGCACAACUCAUUGUGUGUUGUCGUCAUCCGGAUCAAAGCUUGGGAAAAAAUUGUCGAGCAUUAUCUCUUUUGCUUGCCAGUCGGAGAGCAAAGUACAGGUGAAUUUAUUUUCUCCAAGCUUGACAAAUUCAUGGAAAAUGAAAAUUUAUCUUGGAGCAAAUGUGUUGCUGUGACUACAGAUGGUGCUGCAUCCAUGAUGGGGAAACAUAAAGGAGCCACUGCUCGCAUCAAAGAAAAAUCCCAGAAUUGCACCUUUUUACAUUGUUGUUUACAUCGGGAAGCACUGGCUGCCAACAAACUGAACACUUGUUGCAAUGACCAGAAAAAUGAGCUGGAAGAAUUGUUACAAGAUGUGGUGAAAAUUGUCAAUGCUAUUCGCCCACAAGCAGAAAAAUGUUGUAGAGCUGUGCAAGGAUAUGACUGCAGAUCACAUGAUUCUCCUCCUGCAUUCUGAGGUUCGAUGGUUGUCACGUGGAAGAGUCCUUGAACGAGUACUGUCCCUGAAGAACUGUAUAUUUUACUGAGCAAGGAAACGUGAAAGCAAUGCAUUUCAACAAUGAUUUUUGGCCGGCCAAAUUGUGUUACAUGACUUCUAUUUUUGAACAUUUGAAUCAGCUCAACUUGUCACUUCAAGGUAAAGGAGGUGACAUCUUUGAUGUCCUUGGGAAAAUAGAAGCCAUGAAAAUGAAGAUCACCAUGUGGCAUUCGUAAAGGCAAUUUCUCCAAUUUCCCACAUUUGUAAAGCUUCCUCAAAGAGUGUGAGUGGGAAGAAAAGCAUCCUGAUGUGGAGAAAACACUGAAGGACAUAAUUUCCGACCAUCGGCAGUUGCUGUCUAAACAUUUUGAAACAUAUUUUCCUCAGAAGCAUCGGCAGGACUUGGAAAAUCAGAUGUGGAUAGUUAAUCCUUUUAUCACAAGCCACAUCAAACGAGCAGAUUUUGGGGAAAUGUCAGAAGUGUUGAUGGAGCUUCAUUAUGACCACUCAAAAAUCAUCUUUUGAGAUGUACUCCUACUAUGGAGACUAUUGGGUUGGAUUACUUACUUUCCCUGAAUGCAAAUCAAUUGCCUUGAAGGCCCUUCAACCACUAGUAAUGACGACAACAACUUUCCUGUCUGAACAAGGAUUUUCGACCUUGGUAGAACUGAUAUCCAAAAAAACGGAAUUCUCUUCAGUAUGUUGAUUCGGUAAUGCAGGUUGCUUUGGAGAAGGAAAUUAAACCUCGGUUUGAGAAGCUUGUCACGGAGUAAAGGACAUCCUAGUCAUUGAUGAUAAAAAAACAUCUAUGCUAGCUACGCAGGGAGCCCACAUCAGUGUGACCAAUGAAACAUUGUGAAUCAACUGGAACUGAAAGGAGGCAGCAAUCCUCUGGUUAUCAUGCCGAGUGCUAUCUGUCAUGUACAGAAUGAUGUAAGUGUGUUGACUGCAGAAACUCUUACUACAAAAGAUUUGGAAUCUGAUGAAGAAUAUUCAGAUGAAGAUUAGAUGGAAUGUAAACCAAAAGAUUGGGGAAAUAAAUGAUUAUAUAAAGUCUUCUUUUAA